rnacentral:lncRNA from 1 species
AAUUUAAAAGGCAGCGCGCAGUUAUAAAGAAGACUUGGGACGUAACCCGGCCUGAGAAGCAGGCGUGCUGCCCCUUUGGGUCUCCUGCAAGCUGAUCCAGUUGGAAUUGAUACUGAUGGAAGAUUUUUUCCGCCUUGGAAAGACAAAGAUGGUUCCGAUGGUUUGGUGCUCCAUCUAGUGGAUAGUCUCUGUGACGAAAAACUCUGUGAUAAUAAAAGAAAUGCCUUCAAGAAGAAUGACAGUCUAGAGCCGGAGUUGAAUGAGAUGAUUUUGUGAAACUCCACAUAUGUAUGAAAGAAAAUAAUCAAGUACAGAGCUCAGGGGAAAAUACACAAAACUAUAUGGACUUAGAUUUUCAUCAGACCAGAAGAAAAAAUAAUCGUUUUUUGGAGGAAAAAACUCAUCAUCUCAGAGAGAGAGUGUCUCUCAUAUAUUUCAUUUUGUAUGAAAUAUGGCUUGGCUCCUAAGAUGCUAUAGUUCUCCAAAAAAGGUAAAGUAACAACUGCUUUCACAUUCUUGGAUGCUUAUCUUAUGUUGAUAAUAAUUAGGGUGUGUAUUAGUCAGGGUUCUCCAGAGAAACAGAACCAACAGGACAGAUCAAUGGAUGGAUCGAUUGACAGAUAGAUACGAGGGGAUUUACUAUAGAAGUUGGCUCACAUGAUCAUGGAGGCCGAGAAGUCCCACCAUCUACCGUCUGCAAGCUGGAGACCCGGGAAGCUGGUGCUGUAACUCAGUCCAAGCCCCAGGGUCUGAGAACCAGGAGCUCUGACGUCCGAGGGCUGGAGAAGACGGACAUCCCAGCUCAAGGAGAGAGGGAGAGACUGUCCUUCCUCUGCCUUCUUGCUCUGUUCAGGCCCUCAGAGGACUGGAUGAUGGCCGCCCACAUUGGGAAGGACGAUCUCCUUGACUCAGUCUACGGAAUCAAAUCCUGGUCUCUUCCGGAGACGCCAUCAUACACACACUCAGAAACAGAGUUUACCAGCUCUCUGCGCACCCCUCAGCCCGUCAAGUUAAUACAUAUAAUUAGCCACUACAGGGUGACAAUAAGUCUAUGCCUAUUGUCUCAGA